CGUGUAUAUCAGCACGAAAUUACUUGGGAGGAGGUCGGCGAAAUAAUCGCCGGAUAUAUGUCGAUCCAGUAUCAUUAGCUUUUUGCUGUUCAGUAUGACUAAAAACAAUGAUGAUUCUUUCCAGCAGUUGCUCAAUGCAUACCUGACGAUUACGGAGAAAUGCUUCAGACAAUGUAUCCAUAAGAAUGAAAGAGCCGAGUUGAAACUUAGAGAGGUUCGACGUUAUGAGGCCUGUGUAAAACGAGAAAUGAAGCUGUACAGAGAAGAUAUGUACAAUAAAAAUACAGAGUGGAAGACAGAAUGAAAUUUUAUUGUCUAUGUAUGUAUUUAGAUACAGUGUAAAUUAAAUGGAUUUCAUAAGUGACAUUUUCUGAUAAAUGUAAUACUUACAAAUAAACUCUGUUUCUCUUCUCAA
rnacentral:lncRNA from 1 species